UCUCGAUUAACACCAACAACAAACACCUAGGUACGACAACAAUAGGAGGGUACAAAAAAGCGCAUCCAACAAGAGCAAGACCGUAACAACUACAGAAGUAAAUAAACAGAAGCUGCUAGCGACAUGACCUAGUUCUUCUUCUAUCCUAGCUCGGCCACCGACAUCAUCUUCCCCGGCCGGUGUUCCGACGUCCGCGCGCUGCCACCGCUCCCUGGACAUCGACCACAUCUGAUCUAUCCUUCACACAAAGAUUCAACAUGAAAGAACCUCAAAAUCGUACUCUUACAGAAAAGUUCAGGACACUAUUGAAAUGAAGAUUGCAAAAUGAAGAAGCAGCCAAUGUAUACCAUUACCAGGCAAUCUCUAUCACCCGCCGGCUGGCAGCUGACCUGAGCAUCUACCUCGACACGACGAGAAGCCGUAGAUAGAUGCCACGAGCACAUACAUACAUCUCCGCCGAGCUUGGACAGAAGAGGGGAGACCAGGAGGGGAACACCUCCGGCCGGUCC
rnacentral:lncRNA from 1 species